UGGGGAAGUAUUGCACAAUGGGCGCAAGCCUGAUGCAGCGACGCCGCGUGCGGGAUGGAGGCCUUCGGGUUGUAAACCGCUUUUGUUCAAGGGCAAGGCACGGUCUUUGGCCGUGUUGAGUGGAUUGUUCGAAUAAGCACCGGCUAACUACGUGCC
rnacentral:rRNA from 1 species